ensembl:lncRNA
GGAACAGCCUGUGUUGGUGGGUAGAGGAAGCAUGAUGGAACAGCCUGUGUUGGUGGGUAGAGGAAGCAUGAUGGAACAGCCUGUGUUGGGUAGAGGAAGCAUGAUGGAACAGCCUGUGUUGGUGGGUAGAGGAAGCAUGAUGGAACAGCCUGUGUUGGUGGGUAGAGGAAGCAUGAUGGAACAGCCUGUGUUGGUGGGUAGAGGAAGCAUGAUGGAACAGCCUGUGUUGGUGGGUGGAGCCUGUCCUGUGUUGGUGGGUAGAGGAAGCAUGAUGGAACAGCCUGUGUUGGUGGGUAGAGGAAGCAUGAUGGAACAGCCUGUGUUGGUGGGUAGAGGAAGCAUGAUGGAACAGCCUGUGUUGGUGGUAGAGGAAGCAUGAUGGAACAGCCUGUGUUGGUGGGUAGAGGAAGCAUGAUGGAACAGCCUGUGUUGGUGGGUAGAGGAAGCAUGAUGGAACAGCCUGUGUUGGUGGGUAGAGGAAGCAUGAUGGAACAGCCUGUGUUGAUGGGUAGAGGAAGCAUGAUGGAACAGCCUGUGUUGGUGGGUAGAGGAAGCAUGAUGGAACAGCCUGUGUUGGUGGGUAGAGGAAGCAUGAUGGAACAGCCUGUGUUGGUGGGUAGAGGAAGCAUGAUGGAACAGCCUGUGUUGGUGGUGGGUAGAGGAAGCAUGAUGGAACAGCCUGUGUUGGUGGGUAGAGGAAGCAUGAUGGAACAGCCUGUGUUGGUGGGUGAGGAGGAAGCAUGAUGGAACAGCCUGUUGAGUGGUGCAAUCUUGACUCUGGGCUGCGUCCCAAAUGGGACCCUACCCCCU